rnacentral:rRNA from 1 species
UGGGGAAUAUUGGACAAUGGGGGCAACCCUGAUCCAGCCAUGCCGCGUGUGUGAAGAAGGCCUUUUGGUUGUAAAGCACUUUAAGCAGGGAGGAGAGGCUAAUGGUUAAUACCCAUUAGAUUAGACGUUACCUGCAGAAUAAGCACCGGCUAACUCUGUGCCAGCAGCCGCGGUAAUACAGAGGGUGCGAGCGUUAAUCGGAAUUACUGGGCGUAAAGCGAGUGUAGGUGGCUCAUUAAGUCACAUGUGAAAUCCCCGGGCUUAACCUGGGAACUGCAUGUGAUACUGGUGGUGCUAGAAUAUGUGAGAGGGAAGUAGAAUUCCAGGUGUAGCGGUGAAAUGCGUAGAGAUCUGGAGGAAUACCGAUGGCGAAGGCGAGCUUCCUGGCAUAAUAUUGACACUGAGAUUCGAAAGCGUGGGUAGCAAACAGGAUUAGAUACCCUGGUAGUCCACGCCGUAAACGAUGUCUACUAGCCGUUGGGGUCCUUGAGACUUUAGUGGCGCAGUUAACGCGAUAAGU